rnacentral:snoRNA from 1 species
UCCACUGAUGGCAUGAAAUCCUUGAGACCCGAAUUCUCUAUUUUGAUGACAAUUACAAACAUUCUUAUACGAUGAC